GACUGUGUGGCUCAGUGGUUGAGUGGGAGUGCGUGUGUGUAGACAUGGCUCUGACUGUAGGUCUUGGGUUCAAUUCCCAAUUUUGGCC